AAUGGAAUACCUUGGUGGAAAUGGCAGAAUCCCGGGACCCAUCGAUUCUUGGAACGCAAGUUGCGCCCGAAGCCAUUAGGCUGAGGGCACGUCUGCCUGGGUGUCA
rnacentral:rRNA from 1 species